rnacentral:rRNA from 1 species
UACGUAGGGUGCGAGCGUUGUCCGGAAUUAUUGGGCGUAAAGAGCUCGUAGGCGGCUCGUUGCGUCGGCUGUGAAAACCCGCAGCUCAACUGUGGGCCUGCAGCUGAUACGGGCGGGCUGGAGUUCGGUAGGGGAGACUGGAAUUCCUGGUGUAGCGGUGAAAUGCGCAGAUAUCAGGAGGAACACCGGUGGCGAAGGCGGGUCUCUGGGCCGUAACUGACGCUGAGGAGCGGAAGCGUGGGGAGCGAACAGG